rnacentral:lncRNA from 1 species
AGGUACUUAGGGGCUGAGGGUGGGGACUCUAGAACAUCCUGAAAAGGGGAAGCACUAAGCCAAAUAAUAAAUGGGACAUGUGAGUCUGUCAGCAUAUCCUGUAUAGCAUCACUUUGUUGUGACUCUCACGCCAUUUAGAAGGUUGCAAAGAAGUAUCAUUGCAUCUGGAGAAGGUCUUCCUCUGUGCAGCUGGACUACCAGGGCCACAGUCAGGUCGUGUUGGGUAUAUUCUGUGAGACUUCACUAGUGCUUGGGUUCUGGGGAAAAAAGAGAACACAGGCCCAUGCCAAGGGGGAAAUGCAGAGGGAGGAAUUCAGAACUCAGAAAGGAUCUCCAACAGCAGAAUCUCCAUCGUAAAGAAGGAAACAUGAAAACGACUGAAAUGACUUGGAGACUGAAGAUGCAACACGAAGGGCCAAGAGUAUUAGCAAACUAGCACAAGUACUCCACCCUUGGAAGAUCUGUAAAUACAUUACUCCAAACCCAUCUGGAAGCCCUCCAAAACCACUACAGGAAAGGUAGGCAUUAAUAACUGCUGCUAACAUCCAGAAAGAGUAAACUGGGAUUUCUUCUGGGUGAUGGCUGGUAUCUAAGACCAUCUUAACAAUUCCUACUGUGACCAAAGUUGGAAAG